AUUGAACGCUGGCGGCAUGCUUUACACAUGCAAGUCGAACGGUAACAGGCCGCAAGGUGCUGACGAGUGGCGAACGGGUGAGUAAUGCAUCGGAACGUGCCCAGUCGUGGGGGAUAACGCAGCGAAAGCUGUGCUAAUACCGCAUACGAUCUGUGGAUGAAAGCGGGGGACCGAAAGGCCUCGCGCGAUUGGAGCGGCCGAUGUCAGAUUAGGUAGUUGGUGGGGUAAAGGCUCACCAAGCCAACGAUCUGUAGCUGGUCUGAGAGGACGACCAGCCACACUGGGACUGAGAAGCGGCCCAGACGCCUACGGGAGGCAGCAGUGGGGAAUUUUGGACAAUGGGCGCAAGCCUGAUCCAGCAAUGCCGCGUGCAGGAAGAAGGCCUUCGGGUUGUAAACUGCUUUUGUACGGAGCGAAAAGGCUCUCUCUAAUACAGGGGGCUCAUGACGGUACCGUAAGAAUAAGCACCGGCUAACUACGUGCCAGCAGCCGCCGUAACAC
rnacentral:rRNA from 1 species